GCCCUUCGGGGUGGAUCAGUGGCGAACGGGUGAGUAACACGUGGGCAAUCUGCCCUGCAUUCUGGGACAAGCCUUGGAAACGAGGUCUAAUACCGGAUACGACGCAUCCCCGCAUGGGGUGUGCGUGGAAAGCUCCGGCGAUGCAGGAUGAGCCCGCGGCCUAUCAGCUUGUUGGUGGGGUAAUGGCCUACCAAGGCGACGACGGGUAGCCGGCCUGAGAGGGCGACCGGCCACACUGGGACUGAGACACGGCCCAGACUCCUACGGGAGGCAGCAGUGGGGAAUAUUGCACAAUGGGCGAAAGCCUGAUGCAGCGACGCCGCGUGAGGGAUGACGGCCUUCGGGUUGUAAACCUCUUUCAGCAGGAAAGAAGCGCAAGUGACGGUACCUGCAGAAGAAGCACCGGCUAACUACGUGCCAGCAGCCGCGGUAAUACGUAGGGUGCGAGCGUUGUCCGGAAUUAUUGGGCGUAAAGAGCUCGUAGGCGGCCUGUCACGUCGGAUGUGAAAGCCCGGGGCUUAACUCCGGGUCUGCAUUCGAUACGGGCAGGCUAGAGUGUGGUAGGGGAGAUCGGAAUUCCUGGUGUAGCGGUGAAAUGCGCAGAUAUCAGGAGGAACACCGGUGGCGAAGGCGGAUCUCUGGGCCAUUACUGACGCUGAGGAGCGAAAGCGUG
rnacentral:rRNA from 1 species